rnacentral:rRNA from 1 species
AUUGAACGCUGGCGGCAGGCUUAACACAUGCAAGUCGAGCGGAGAUGAGGUGCUUGCACCUUAUCUUAGCGGCGGACGGGUGAGUAAUGCUUAGGAAUCUGCCUAUUAGUGGGGGACAACAUUCCGAAAGGAAUGCUAAUACCGCAUACGUCCUACGGGAGAAAGCAGGGGAUCAUCGGACCUUGCGCUAAUAGAUGAGCCUAAGUCGGAUUGGUUAGUUGGUGGGGUAAAGGCCUAACAAGGCGACGAUCUGUAGCGGGUCUGAGAGGAUGGUCGGACACACUGGGACUGAGACACGGCCCAGACGCCUACGGGAGGUAGCAGUGGGGAAUAUUGGGCAAUGGGGGGAACCCUGAUCCAGCCAUGCCGCGUGUGUGAAGAAGGCCUUAUGGUUGUAAAGCACUUUAAGCGAGGAGGAGGCUACUGAGACUAAUACCCUUGGAUAGUGGACGUUACUCGCAGAAUAAGCACCGGCUAACUCUGUGCCAGCCGCCGCGGUAAGAC